rnacentral:rRNA from 1 species
UACGUAGGGGGCAAGCGUUGUCCGGAAUCAUUGGGCGUAAAGCGCGCGUAGGCGGCGUCGUAAGUCGGCCGUGAAAGCUCCCGGCUCAACUGGGAGAGGUCGGGCGAGACUGCGGUGCUCGAGGCGGGUAGAGGGCAGUGGAAUUCCGGGUGUAGUGGUGGAAUGCGUAGAGAUCCGGAGGAACACCAGUGGCGAAGGCGGCUGCCUGGGCCUGGCCUGACGCUGAGGCGCGAAAGCGUGGGGAGCGAUCCGG